rnacentral:rRNA from 1 species
GUGCACCAGGCGCGAAUUUUUCUCAAUGGGCGAAAGCCUGAAGGAGCGACGCCGCGUGGGGGAUGAAUGGCUUCGGCCCGUAAACCCCUGUCAUUUGUGAACAAAUUGCUUCACCUAACACGUGAAGCAUUGAUUGUAACGGAAGAGGAAGGGACGGCUAACUCUGUGCCAGCAGCCGCGGUAAUACAGAGGUCCCAAGCGUUGUUCGGAUUCACUGGGCGUAAAGGGUGCGUAGGCGGUUUGAUAAGUCUGAUGUGAAAUCCCGCAGCUUAACUGCGGAACUGCAUUGGAAACUAUUUGACUAGAGGAAUGGAGGGGAGACUGGAAUACUUGGUGUAGCAGUGAAAUGCGUAGAUAUCAAGUGGAACACCAGUGGCGAAGGCGAGUCUCUGGACAUUUCCUGACGCUGAGGCACGAAAGCCAGGGGAGCAAACGGGAUUAGAUACCCCUGUAGU